UGGCAAAACAAUAUGAAGAUCUUACGGUAUUCAAUAUCUCCAUGGUCUUGCAUUGAUUUACAGAAGGCGGUCAAUCAUCAGAGAAGAUUUUGCAUGAAAAUGAGCCCCUCUCUCUAUAUCUCUUCCCCGCUCUAUCCGAGAUUCAUCACUCGGCUUUAGAAAUGAGAGAUUCGCCGCAGUCCGAUUCAACCAGUUGAGGCUUUUCCAAAAUAUUUAGGAGGAAUGGGAGGUUCUGUUCAAGUCAACUCUACUUGCUUAUACAUUGGAUGUUGCGGUGUGUCCCAUUAUCCUAAUUGAAGUAGACAAACAUAUUAUAUCAGGAAUGACAUGGCUUUGAGAGAUAGAGCUUUAAUUUGCCCAAUUUUUAUGUGGAACAAAGCAAGAUAAUGUUGGGUGAAAAUAGAAGAUCGAUUGUCCAUUAUCGGAAGUAAUUGGUCUACGACAUUGUGCACCAAGUAUAAACUCUUAUACGAGAAGGUUAGUGUUUCAUUUUAUUGAUGAG